AACCACAGCUCUGAGCAGCGUGGGAAGACAAAGACAGCUGUGCCCGCUGGCGGCCUCAGAUGUUCCCACAGCAGCGCUACACUGCAGGGUCCCCAGGGUCAUCAAAUAUGCAGAAGGAUGUUGGAGUCCUUUGUAUCACAGCCAGAAAUGCCAUGUGCUCGGCGUUGGAUCGCACUGGGCUCUUGUUCCUGCCAGUAGAAGAUGGUCAACGGAACAUGUCCUCUGCACAGGAGGUGGUAAAAAUGGAGCCCUCUAUGAUUCUGAGGUGGGUCGCUGCUUUCAUUAACUCUAGGCUGUAGCCUCGAUGGUUGCUGGCCUGAAAGGCAGGCUGAGUACAUGUGUGGAUUUAGACUGAG
rnacentral:lncRNA from 1 species